GGGGAUGACAGGUUUCGACAGGUAGGGCUGGCUGUAGAAUGCAGGCCGAGGCGCCCCCACCUCGUGAAUCAGGGGCAAAACAAGAAGCGGCAAAACCGCACGAACUCCGGCGUAUGCGUACGCCAUGGCUGCGUAAAGCAGUCGUAGCGAUCACGUAAGCGCCACGGUCGUCUGAGCACGACCUCGCUUGCCCCGGCUUUCCUCCGCCGGGCCGGGAGCGGGCGUCAUAACAGACGGAGUGCGGCUGCCCCGAUGUCAGUGAGGGCAGCCAAAGAGGGUCAACCCCUACUGACUGGCCCGACUGUCGCUCAGUCGGUUGAGGGAUGGUCGGGCGAGAAAGAAGGGAACCGACUAAGCCUGUAGCAUUUCUGCGGUCGAACUAUCUGGACGCGGGUUCGAUUCCCGCCAUCUCCACCA
rnacentral:tmRNA from 1 species